rnacentral:tRNA from 1 species
UUAGCGCACUAGUCUGGGGGACUAGGGGUCGGAGGUUCGAAUCCUCUCGCUCCGA